UACAGAGGGGGCAAGCGUUGUUCGGAAUUACUGGGCGUAAAGGGCGCGUAGGCGGCCUGUUAAGUCGAACGUGAAAUCCCCGGGCUCAACCCGGGAACUGCGUCCGAUACUGGCAGGCUUGAAUUCGGGAGAGGGAUGUGGAAUUCCAGGUGUAGCGGUGAAAUGCGUAGAUAUCUGGAGGAACACCGGUGGCGAAGGCGGCAUCCUGGACCGAUAUUGACGCUGAUGCGCGAAAGCGUGGGUAGCAAACGGG
rnacentral:rRNA from 1 species